GUACACCAACGGCAGUUUGUUAGUCUAGGAACUGCUGAUAUCAAUGGUAACGGAAUUCUUCCAAUUAGUCCAUCCAACUGAAGUUCCACACCAUCACUACCUUAAACAAACUGGACCAAAUUGAUAACAGAUCACUCUAUGACAGCAGGUUAAAUCUAAUUUGUCAUCAAAGUGCAGUUAAAAUUUAUCAAUCAAUCAAUAGCAGGUAGAUAUAGUUGGUUUUAGAUAACCACCAAUAGGUAUAUCAGCCAGUUUAGACUAAUACCAAUAGCAGGCUGAUAUAGUCAGUUUAGAUUACUACCACCAAUAGUAGGUUGAUAUACUGGUAGUCAGUUUAGGAUAACUACCAAUAUCAGGUUGAUAUAGCCAGGCUUUAGAUAACUACCAAAAGCAGGCAGACAUAGUCAGUUUAGAUUACUACCAAUAGCAGGGUUGAUAUAAUCGCCGAGAUACUACCAAUAGCAGGUUGAUAUACUCAGUUUAGAUAACUACCAAUAGCAGAUUGAUAUAGUCAGUUUAGAUAACUACCAUUAACAGGCUGAUAUAGUCAGUUUAGGAAUACAAGCAAUAGUGAGGUUGAUAUAGUUGGUUUAGACUACACAAACCAAUAGCUGUUUGUACCAAUACAAUGUUACUUUGAUUGCUAAUGAAAUGACUCUCUUACAGUCAACAACACGCUUCGAAGUGUUACAGAACCUGUUUAAAAUUGGGACUUCCAUUUCAUUGCUCUGAAAUAUAUUUUGAUAAAGACUCCCAGUUGAAAAUCUAAAACUGAAUGG